AUUGAACGCUGGCGGCAUGCCUUACACAUGCAAGUCGAACGGCAGCACGGGAGCAAUCCUGGUGGCGAGUGGCGAACGGGUGAGUAAUAUAUCGGAACGUGCCCGGUCGUGGGGAUAACGUAGCGAAAGCUACGCUAAUACCGCAUACGAUCUACGGAUGAAAGCGGGGGAUCGCAAGACCUCGCGCGAUUGGAGCGGCCGAUAUCAGAUUAGGUAGUUGGUGAGGUAAAGGCUCACCAAGCCGACGAUCUGUAGCUGGUCUGAGAGGACGACCAGCCACACUGGGACUGAGACACGGCCCAGACUCCUACGGGAGGCAGCAGUGGGGAAUUUUGGACAAUGGGCGCAAGCCUGAUCCAGCAAUGCCGCGUGCAGGAUGAAGGCCUCGG
rnacentral:rRNA from 1 species